UCUUUAUCCAGCUUUCCACUUUUUUUGGGUUUUUUUCCCCCCAAAAUCAAUAGGUCUUUUAUUGUAUCAUUUAAGUAUCACAAGUAGGUCUUAGGAAUCAUCCAGCAUCUUGUUUCUAUAGCUGGACAACUCUUAGAUCUUAUUCAUCAGCCUGCUGAAUAGUUUCUUUUUCUUUCUUUCUUUCUUUUUUUUUUUUUUUUU